CGGACGGGUGAGUAAUGUCUGGGAAACUGCCCGAUGGAGGGGGGUAACUACUGGAAACGGUAGCUAAUACCGCAUAACGUCGCAAGACCAAAGAGGGGGACCUUAGGGCCUCUUGCCAUCGGAUGUGCCCAGAUGGGAUUAGCUAGUAGGUGGGGUAACGGCUCACCUAGGCGACGAUCCCUAGCUGGUCUGAGAGGAUGACCAGCCACACUGGAACUGAGACACGGCCCAG
rnacentral:rRNA from 1 species